CUUACAUGGACUCUUGCACCCAGCAGGCCUUCAUGAGAAAUUACAUUUAGGUUAAUGACAUCACAAUGACAGGGAAUGACAUCAUAAUGACAGGGAAUGACAUCAUAAUGACAGGGAAUGACAUCACAAUGACAGGUUGGCAUAUUGUAUUGUGUGUCUAUUUACCGGAGCGUUGUUCUAUUUCUGUUCUUUGGAUUUUAUACAGGAGGAGCCGGCAGCUGAUUUAACUUUGUAUAAAGUGGAUCCGAGCACAUUGUUUAUCUUUUUUUCAUGGUAUACAGAGACGAUGAAAAACACUUGCGUCUGAGUCCCAGAUGGCUGAGUGCUGGUCUGAACUGGCACACUAUAUAGGGGAUAAGGUGUCUUUUGGGACGCUUUUCAAGACGUUAAAUAUUACACAGUCUGAGACUGUAUCGGUUAGCAAUAUACAUUGAGUGGACAAAACAUUAAGAACACCGGCUCUUUCCAUAACAGACUGACCAGGAGGAAAGCUAUAAUCCCUUAUUGUUAAAUCCACUUCAAAUCAGUGUAGAUGAAGGGGAGGAGACAGGUUAAAGAAGGAUUUUGAAGCCUUGAGACAUGGAUUGUGUCUGGGCAAGACAAAAGACUUGAGUGCCUUUAAAGGGGUAUGGUAGAAGGUGUCAGGCGCAUCGGUUUGUGUCAAGAACUGCAACUUUGUUGGGUUUUUCACACUCAACAGUUUCCCAUGUGUAUCAAGAAUGGUCCACCACGUAAAGGACAUCCAGCCAACUUGACACAACUGUGGGAAGCAUUGGAGUCUACAUGGGCCAGCAUGUCUGUGGAAUGCUUUCGACACCUUGUAGAGUCCAUGCCUAGGGCAAAAGGGGGGUGGGUGCAACUCAAUAUUAGGAAGGUGUUCCUUUGGUAUAGUAUGUUGCUUCAGAAGGUUGAGAAAUGUUCCACUCCAUGUGUCCAGGUUUCCACUUCCUACCCUGUCCUGCUUGUAAACAGCUCUGUAGUUCACACCUGUUUGGAAUCCUAGUCUUUCUGUCCCCAAGGGACAGUUCCCUUCGCUGUUCUGGAACCUUCACCCCUCUGUUGUUCUGGAACCUUCACCCCUCUGUUCUGGAACCUUCACCCCUCUGUUCUGGAACCUUCACCCCUCCUCUGUUGUUCUGGAACCUUCACCCCUCCUCUGUUGUUCUGGAACCUUCAGUGUGAACUCUAGAACUUCCCCCUGUGGAGCGAGGCUGUGGGUGUAUCCCAAAUAGACUAUAUAGUGCACUACUUUUGACCAGGCCCCAUUAGUUCAUUAGGGCCCUUGUCAAAAGUAAUGCACUCCAUAGUGAAUAGGGUGUAAUUGUGGUGUGGUAACAUCCUGGCUGUAUGAGGCACUGGGUUACAGAGGCCUGGUUGGCCCAGGCUGGGACAAAGAGAGGGAGUGUGGUGCAUCCUGGCUGUAUGAGGCAUUGGGUUACAGAGGCCUGGUUGGCCCAGGCUGGGACAAAGAGAGGGAGUGUGGUGCAUCCUGGCUGUAUGAGGCACUGGGUUACAGAGGCCUGGUUGGCCCAGGCUGGGACAAAGAGAGGAAGCGAGGUGCAUCCUCCUCAGUGAAAGUUGUGAUUGAUACACCCAGAAUACCGGACGUCAACUACCCAUGACUCAACAGGCAGUCAGUGAACACACACAGAGAGAGAGAGAGAGAGGCCGGGAUUCAAUGCAAGACUCGUUAUAACGCUUGCACACUACAUCAGACUUUUAAAGAUCAUUACAAAAGGACUUUUGCAUUGUAAUUUUAGGACAUUUACAUAAUAUAUCUGCUG
ensembl:lncRNA